GAGGGGGGGAGCGGCAGCAGCGGCCGUGGCGGUGGCCGUGGCCGUGGCCAUGCCAUGCACCACGCCUUGACCGUGGCCACGCGCGUGCCGAGGGGCUCGCUCCCCUCGUGCGGACCUCGCUGCGCCAUGGGAAAGCGCCAGUCCUUGUGCCUGUGCGAUGCAUGGGGGCAGACUCGCGCACCGAGAAGCGACGAUGGUGAGAGCGAGAAAGGGGGGAGGAGAGGAGCGGAGGAAAUCGCAGUGAUUGACGCAUCGCUGACAGUCUUAUGAUUUGAGGUGUGGGAAGUGACAGUUGACUUGUCAUUCCUCGCUUCACCACCACCUCACUCCUCCAUCCCAUCCCAUCCCAUGCUUUUGCUGCUACCCCUCACUGCAACUGGGCGUUCGUGUGCCGGAAGAGAUGUGAAGGCACAAGUCAGUCUCAGUUGUUCUCUUCAGAUGUUAUUAAAGGAUUGCGUACAAACAAAAGUCAUUUCAUCAUGCAGAUCUGAAGAAACAGUCAUUUACAGUAUCAAUUUCAUAUCAAACUGCCCCCAGACCAGAUUCUCAACAUUUAGUGACUUUCUCUAACAAUGAAAGCAAUAAAAAGGUGAUUUAACACUUCAAGUGGAGCAAUCUUCCAAAAGAGGAGUCUUACACUGUAUCCACAGUUUUUUUUUUUUGCCUGCAUAAGAGUUAACUGAAGCCUUUCUGAAGCUGAAGCAGUGUUCUGCUUCACCUGAUUUGGGAGCUAAACUUCCUUCAGAUUUAGAUUUUCUGAACAUCUUCAGUAAUGCUAAACUUUCUUUAGAGUUUGUUUUUGGCUACAAUAUAAAAAUCAUGUGUUCUUGAUA